rnacentral:rRNA from 1 species
ACGAACGCUGGCGGCAUGCCUAACACAUGCAAGUCGAACGAGACCUCCGGGUCUAGUGGCGCACGGGUGCGUAACGCGUGGGAACCUGCCCUUAGGUUCGGAAUAACUCCCCGAAAGGGGUGCUAAUACCGGAUAAUGUCUUCGGACCAAAGAUUUAUCGCCUUUGGAUGGGCCCGCGUUGGAUUAGCUAGUUGGUAGGGUAAAAGCCUACCAAGGCGACGAUCCAUAGCUGGUCUGAGAGGAUGAUCAGCCACACUGGGACUGAGACACGGCCCAGACUCCUACGGGAGGCAGCAGUGGGGAAUAUUGGACAAUGGGCGAAAGCCUGAUCCAGCAAUGCCGCGUGAGUGAUGAAGGCCUUAGGGUUGUAAAGCUCUUUUACCCGGGAUGAUAAUGACAGUACCGGGAGAAUAAGCUCCGGCUAACUCCGUG